UGGGGAAUAUUGCACAAUGGGCGGAAGCCUGAUGCAGCGACGCCGCGUGGGGGGAUGACGGCCUUCGGGUUGUAAACCUCUUUCGCUAGGGACGAAGCCGUGAGGUGACGGUACCUGGAUAAGAAGCACCGGCUAACUACGUGCCAGCAGCCGCGGUAAUACGUAGGGUGCGAGCGUUGUCCGGAUUUAUUGGGCGUAAAGAGCUCGUAGGCGGUUUGUUGCGUCGGCCGUGAAAUCUCCAUGCUUAACGUGGAGGGUGCGGUCGAUACGGGCAGACUUGAGUUCGGUAGGGGAGACUGGAAUUCCUGGUGUAGCGGUGAAAUGCGCAGAUAUCAGGAGGAACACCGGUGGCGAAGGCGGGUCUCUGGGCCGAUACUGACGCUGAGGAGCGAAAGCGUGGGGAGCGAACAGGAUUAGAUACC
rnacentral:rRNA from 1 species